GUGCCUGUAGCUCAGUUGGUCAGAGCACUCGACUCAUAAUCGAUAGGUCCUCGGUUCAAGCCCGAGCAGGCGCACCA
rnacentral:tRNA from 1 species